CAGCAGCCGCGGUAAAACGUAGGUGGCAAGCGUUGUCCGGAAUUAUUGGGCGUAAAGGGCUCGCAGGCGGUUUCUUGAGUCUGAUGUGAAAGCCCCCGGCUCAACCGGGGAGGGUCAUUGGAAACUGGGAAACUUGAGUGCAGAAGAGGAGAGUGGAAUUCCACGUGUAGCGGUGAAAUGCGUAGAGAUGUGGAGGAACACCAGUGGUGAAGGCGACUCUCUGGUCUGUAACUGACGCUGAGGAGCGAAAGCGUGGGGAGCGAACAGGAUUAGAUACCCCCGUAGUCCCUGUCUCUUAUAC
rnacentral:rRNA from 1 species